CAACAAGGCCACAUUUCCUAAUAUAGUAACAUUCCUGUGGGCCAAGCAUUCAAGCACAUAAGACUAUAGGUGCCAAACCUCUUCAAACCACCAUAAUGGGCCAGGAGGAAAGGCUGAGAGAGGCAUCGGGAAAGAUAUGGUGGCCCAGGUGCUGGGUUCUUCCAUCAGUGCUGAGAGGUAGAAUCUCUAGGGAAUGGAGGUAGCCUGUGAAGACCUGUUUGUGCCUACCUGUGGCUUCUGUGGCAGUACCCAUGUGUGCUCAGCCUGUAUGCCUGAGUGUCUGCCAGAAUCUGCCUACCAAGUAGCCUGUGUGCUGGGUUGCUGGCUUCUGGAAGAUGCAUAUUGCCUUGGUGGUUUACGCUGGUGCUUUUGUGCUGGGAUCUAUGCAUCCAUAGCUGUGUUCCUAAGAAUUAUUGAUUUUUAGGAAGAAAAAAAGAAGGAAAGAAAGAGAGGGAAAUUACUAAGUUCUGUAAGUAAGGCUAAGAAAUGACUCAGCGGUGAAGAGAGCUUUCUGCUUUCAGCUCCCAGCAUCUAUUUCGAGUGGCUCAUAACCACCUGUUAACACUAGCUCUAGGAUAUCACAACUUCUUCUGGCCUCUGCAGCACCUGCACAGAUGCUACAUACAUACACACUCACAUCACACACACCACACACAC